rnacentral:rRNA from 1 species
CUACGGAGGGUGCAAGCGUUACUCGGAAUCACUGGGCGUAAAGCGCGCGCAGGCGGUCUUUUAAGUUGGAUGGGAAAGCCUACGGCUCAACCGUAGAACUGCAUCCAAAACUAUUAGACUAGAGUGUGGGAGAGGAAGAUGGAAUUAGUUGUGUAGGGGUAAAAUCCGUAGAGAUAACUAGGAAUACCAAAAGCGAAGGCAAUCUUCUGGAACACUACUGACGCUGAGGCGCGAAGGCGUGGGGAGCAAACAGGAUUAGAAACCCGAGUAGUCC